CAGCGCCACAAGUGGGGGCCAUGUUUAUUGGGCCUAAAGCGUUCGUAGCUGGUUCUGUAAAUCUUUUGUGAAAUCGUUGGGCUUAACCUAACGGCGUGCAGAAGAAACUGCAGAACUUGGGACCGGGAGGGGUUAGAAGUAUUUCUGGGGGAGCGGUAAAAUGCAGUAAUCCCAGGAGGACUACCUGUGGCGAAGGCGUCUAACCAGAACGGGUCCGACAGUGAGGAACGAAAGCCAGGGGAGCAAACCGGAUUAGAUACCCGAGUAGUCC
rnacentral:rRNA from 1 species